rnacentral:rRNA from 1 species
GGCGAACGCUGGCGGCAUGCCUAACACAUGCAAGUCGAACGUGAUCCAGGCUUCGGUCUGGUGAAAGUGGCAGACGGGUGAGUAACGCGUGGGAACCUGCCCUGUGGUAGGGAAUAACUGCGGGAAACUGCGGCUAAUACCCUAUGUGUCCUGAGGGACAAAGAUUUAUAGCCAUAGGAGGGGCCCGCGUCGGAUUAGGUAGUUGGUGGGGUAACGGCCUACCAAGCCAUCGAUCCGUAGCUGGUCUGAGAGGAUGAUCCGCCACACUGGUACUGAGAUACGGCCCAGACUGCUACGGGAGGCAGCAGUGGGGAAUAUUGGACAAUGGGGGCAAACCUGAUCCAGCAAUGCCGCUUGGGUGAUGAAGGCCUUCGGGUUGUAAAGCCCUUUCGGCGGGGAAGAUGAUGGCGGUACCCGCAGAAGAAGCCCCGGCUAACUUCGUGCCAGCCGCCGCCGUAAAAC